UUAAGUGACUAAGCGUACAGGGUGGAUGCCUGGGCAGUCAGAGGCGAUGAAGGACGUACUAACUUGCGAUAAGCGCAGAUGAGGCAGUAAGAGCCGUUUGAGUCUGCGAUUUCCGAAUGGGGAAACCCAACUGCAUAAGCAGUUACUGUUAACUGAAUACAUAGGUUAACAGAGCAAACCGGGGGAACUGAAACAUCUAAGUACCCCGAGGAGAAGAAAUCAACCGAGAUUCCGGUAGUAGCGGCGAGCGAACCUGGAUUAGCCCUUAAGCACUCGGUGAAGUAGGUGAACAAGCUGGAAAGCUUGGCGAUACAGGGUGAUAGCCCCGUAACCGACGCUUCAUCGAGCGUGAAAUCGAGUAGGGCGGGACACGUGAUAUCCUGUCUGAAUAUGGGGGGACCAUCCUCCAAGGCUAAAUACUCCUGACUGACCGAUAGUGAACCAGUACCGUGAGGGAAAGGCGAAAAGAACCCCUGUGAGGGGAGUGAAAUAGAACCUGAAACCGUGUACGUACAAGCAGUAGGAGCACCUUCGUGGUGUGACUGCGUACCUUUUGUAUAAUGGGUCAGCGACUUAUAUUCAGUGGCAAGGUUAACCGUAUAGGGGAGCCGUAGCGAAAGCGAGUCUUAACUGGGCGCUCAGUCUCUGGAUAUAGACCCGAAACCGGGUGAUCUAGCCAUGGGCAGGUUGAAGGUUGAGUAACAUCAACUGGAGGACCGAACCGACUAAUGUUGAAAAAUUAGCGGAUGACUUGUGGCUAGGGGUGAAAGGCCAAUCAAACUCGGAGAUAGCUGGUUCUCCCCGAAAGCUAUUUAGGUAGCGCCUCGGACGAAUACUACUGGGGGUAGAGCACUGUUAAGGCUAGGGGGUCAUCCCGACUUACCAACCCUUUGCAAACUCCGAAUACCAGUAAGUACUAUCCGGGAGACACACGGCGGGUGCUAACGUCCGUCGUGGAGAGGGAAACAACCCAGACCGCCAGCUAAGGUCCCAAAGUAUUGCUAAGUGGGAAACGAUGUGGGAAGGCUCAGACAGCUAGGAUGUUGGCUUAGAAGCAGCCAUCAUUUAAAGAAAGCGUAAUAGCUCACUAGUCGAGUCGGCCUGCGCGGAAGAUGUAACGGGGCUAAGCAAUACACCGAAGCUGCGGCAAUAUCUUUAGAUAUUGGGUAGGGGAGCGUUCUGUAAGCCGUUGAAGGUGAAUCGUAAGGUUUGCUGGAGGUAUCAGAAGUGCGAAUGCUGACAUGAGUAACGACAAAGGGGUGAAAAACCUCCUCGCCGGAAGACCAAGGGUUCCUGUCCAACGUUAAUCGGGGCAGGGUGAGUCGACCCCUAAGGUGAGGCCGAAAGGCGUAAUCGAUGGGAAACGGGUUAAUAUUCCCGUACUUCUGACUAUUGCGAUGGGGGGACGGAGAAGGCUAGGUGGGCCAGGCGACGGUUGUCCUGGUUCAAGUGCGUAGGCUUGAGAGUUAGGUAAAUCCGGCUCUCUCUAAGGCUGAGACACGACGUCGAGCUGCUACGGCAGUGAAGUCAUUGAUGCCAUGCUUCCAGGAAAAGCCUCUAAGCUUCAGAUAGUCAGGAAUCGUACCCCAAACCGACACAGGUGGUCGGGUAGAGAAUACCAAGGCGCUUGAGAGAACUCGGGUGAAGGAACUAGGCAAAAUGGUACCGUAACUUCGGGAGAAGGUACGCUCUUGAUGGUGAAGUCCCUCGCGGAUGGAGCUGACGAGAGUCGCAGAUACCAGGUGGCUGCAACUGUUUAUUAAAACACAGCACUGUGCAAAAUCGCAAGAUGACGUAUACGGUGUGACGCCUGCCCGGUGCCGGAAGGUUAAUUGAUGGGGUUAGCGCAAGCGAAGCUCUUGAUCGAAGCCCCGGUAAACGGCGGCCGUAACUAUAACGGUCCUAAGGUAGCGAAAUUCCUUGUCGGGUAAGUUCCGACCUGCACGAAUGGCGUAAUGAUGGCCACGCUGUCUCCACCCGAGACUCAGUGAAAUUGAAAUCGCUGUGAAGAUGCAGUGUACCCGCGGCUAGACGGAAAGACCCCGUGAACCUUUACUACAGCUUGGCACUGAACAUUGAACCUACAUGUGUAGGAUAGGUGGGAGGCUAUGAAGACGUGACGCCAGUUGCGUUGGAGCCGUCCUUGAAAUACCACCCUUGUAUGUUUGAUGUUCUAACUUAGACCCAUUAUCUGGGUUGAGGACAGUGCCUGGUGGGUAGUUUGACUGG
rnacentral:rRNA from 1 species